rnacentral:misc_RNA from 1 species
GUGGCGCUUAAGUUUGUAUGCGCCAUCAUCCAAAAUUUUCAGAAGAUUGCUUAUAGUUAAAAGUAUCUUUCGUUCUGGGUAAUUGUUGCAGUUAAGUUAUGGAUUAAGAAGAUGAGAAUUUGAAACAUUUGGUAGUGAAUAUCUCUCAAAAAAUGGCCCAGGCUGGUGAACCAGCAGUGAAUGUGAGUGAAGAUGAUGAAAGUGAUAAGGAGGCUGCCAUGGUUCAAGUUAAACCCUUGGAUGUGUGUGGUAGAGAUAAUCGACUCUUACUUAGACAGGAAAAACGAAUCUUUGAGGAGAAUCAAGAUAAUGAACUAAAAGCUCUUGGGCUGUAUGAAGAAGGAAUGACAGUAGACCAGAAACGAGAAUUAUUGUGUGUGAUAGCCGCUUCCAAAGAAACAGCUGAAGAGGAAGAAAGAAAACGCAAAGAAUCAAGACAAUGUGGAAGUAGUGAUUUCUUUGAAGUUGAUCAGGAGAAAUCAUUUCCUAGAAUCAAAGAACAAGGAAGAUUUAGCUGUUUUCAUACGCUGUCUAAUUCUCCUGAUGGAAGCACUUUGAGUCCUGAUUCCGAUGCUAGAAUAAAUAACAUUUGUUUGGACUGUGUAGAUAGAACAACAGAGCCAUAUUCAUUUGAAAAUGAUGAAGUAAACCACCCAUCUCAAGGAUCUCAAGAUUUGUUUUCUUCACAAUCAGAAAGAGGAAAUCAGCUCUUGGAAGAAAACCAAGGAAAUAGGCAAUUAGGUCAAACUAUUUUGGAGGAAAAACUGAAAUCAAGUCGGGUAUCAAGUUUAGAACUACAGAAAUUAAGACAGGGGAUAGAAAAGAAUGAUAAUUCUCAAUCCAGUGGAGCAUCUGAUGAAACCGAGCCAUUUGUUAAUAGCCCAUCUCUAUCUUUAGAGGCAGCAAGUCCACAGUCUAAGUUACUGAUGGAAAAUAACAUACAAGUAUGGCCACCUUCACCUGAAGCAGUGCCACCUUUACAAUGUAGAAAACGAAGAGCUGAAAGUUUUAGCCUUUACACUGUGCCUUAUUUCUGCCCACCAAACUGUGAUCCUGUCCAACACACUCAACAAAUUUUACAGGCUAUGGAGAGCUACUAUCACCAUUUAGCUAAGGUUCAACGCUUCUCUUUGUUUCAUAGGCCUUGGGGCCAACCUAUUUGUGUAGGGAGACAUCUACCAGGCACAUUAGAUCUUUAUAAGCGAAAGGGUGUUUCCCAGGGAGAAGAUGACAACAAGUCUAUUCCAAAACCUUUAAAGAAAAGAUUUAUUGCAGAGUCUGAUGAUGAUGAGCACUCAGAAGAGCUUCCUAGCCUUCAAGUUGAUUGUCAAACAGUUAUAGACAGUCGAGAAGAUACAUCUUUUCUUGCACUGAAAAGAAAAUUGCGUUCCAGCACAAAUUCUGUUGUUAUUACAGCCGAAAAUUGUGAUGAAAACUUGACACAUGAUAACCAUCUAGUAAACUAUAGAAAUAAGACAGUUAAGAAUAGAACAUCUAUCAUGUCAGAAGAAGCUCCACCAAAACAAACAUCCCAGCAGCUGUCUCGAAAGAAGAAAGGUGAUGUGGAUGGUAAUGGAGAAGAGUGGUUGGAAGCCAGCAAAAAACCAAAGGCAUCACAAAUGUCUAAGGGACCAAGGAAGAGUAAAUUAAAUGUAGAGAAAGAGAAAUAUAUUAGACAGAAAAAAAUUGGUAAACUAGAAUCAUUGGAGAUCAUUUGUGAAAUUAACAAUGACCUUGAAACAAAUGAAAAAUUGAAUUCCUGCCUCGACCCUGAAGUAAAUAUGGUUCAAAAAGAAGAAAAUAAGGUCCUCUGUGAUAACCUCUGUAUUCCCUCCAGUACUCAAGGAUCUGGACUUGGUAAGAACAUAAAUGAGGUUCUGUUAACUUCUUUAGAUAAAAAAAGUAAAACCUUUGAAAUCCAACAUCUUUCUCCUAAUAUUUUGGAAAAUCCUAGCCACGAACCUACAUCAUUUGUAGAAUCAGAAAGUGAGAGACUGGUAAUUCCAGAAAGUCCUCCAGAAGAAAAACCCCAUUCAACAAAAAAAAAGAUUCAACUAUCUAUAGACAAAAAUAAAACUGCAAAUACAAGUUACAAUGAAUCAACUGUUCUUCUACCCCAAAUUAAACAUUCUUUUGACAAAGUGUCUGUUCCUGUAGUAACAAAUAAUUCUGUUUUCAAGAAGGAAGCUCAUAGUGAGUCUGCUAUAGAAGAUGAACAAGUAUUUUGUAUUUCCAAAAGCCCAUUUGAUAACUUACUUGGAGAAGGUGAAGAAAACACAAGAAAGUAAUUUUAUGAGCAAUUUUAAAAUGAGGUUAUUAGAUGGUGUUCCUUUUGAGAAACAUGUAGAAAUUGACCAAGAAGCUCUCAUUAUAAACCCAACUGCCUACUUACCAACAGUACAGUGACACUCUGAGCACAUUCUUUAAACCUAUCAUUACAUCUGAGUGGACUGAGAAGUUAAACUGUACUCUAAACUUCAUUUGCAAUCCUUCUGCAACAACGAUUGGCCCUGGAAGACGCAUAAAGGCGUCAUUGAUGAUGCCAGCUAACGACGGAAGAAUUUUUCACUUGCUAGUCAGUCAUUUAUUGACUAGUAUUUUGUCACUUGCU